AUGGCAUUGCUUCGUGAUCUUUGGAUGCCCAAAAGUCAGUGCUAUAUCACAGGACCAAUUUGGCCAACUAUUGAGGCAGAGAACUUCGAGCUGAAACCUAGUCUUAUUGCUUUGGUUCAACAACAACAGUUUGGAGGACUGCCUACUGAGGAUCCCUAUGAGCACUUACACCGAGUCAUGGAGUAUUCAGAUACAUCUGCGAUUCGAGAUGAGAUCUUCAAUUUCGUUCAGCGUGAAUACGAGAGCUUGUAUGAUGCAUGGGAGAGAUACAAGGCUUUAUUCAGGAGAUGUCCUAACCACGGGCUUGAGAGAUGGUUAGAGUUGCAGAUAUUCUAUAGAGGAUUGACUUCGGACACUCGAGCUUACGUCGAUAUGGCAGCGGGUGGAGCUAUUACAAACAAGACACUUGAUGACGCUUUUCUGCUGAUUGAGAGUAUAGCCUUCCACCAACUUCAGUGGUACAAUGAGAAGCCCAUCUCUGAUUCAGUUGCUUGUUUGCAACAAAUCACUUCAUCUCAGCAAGAAUCUCUUACACAAAAGUCGGAACCAGUUUCUCCGUGUAACAAGAUUGAGCUUUCAUGGAUUAUCUUUGAUGAUGAUGACACCAUCCUAGUUGACACACACACUUCAGAUCAUAUGGAUACUAGUGUUGGAGAUUUAGUUUUGCAUUGUGAUGAUUCUUCCAUGGAUGAGCCAGAGCUGCAGUUAGUUGUUUUUUAUAUUGAGGAGUCACCUUUAGUUGAUAUUGAUCAUGUGCUGCUAGAGCCAGAUAUGGAGAAGUUCAGCUUCAAUGAUUUAGCCGCAUUGAUUCCUCAACACUUGAGCCUGAGAUGGAGAGCUUCAUGGUUAAUUAUGAUGAGGUGGAUUCAGAUGUCAAGGAGCCAAGCUCUACUAUUUCACUUGUUGACACGAGUCCGGUGGAAAUUUCUACAACCACACCUCACUUGGCAUCUUCAAUUGAGAGGGCAUUCUCUCUGUCACUUGUAUUGGCUUGAUUGUUGA
rnacentral:rRNA from 1 species